GCUGUACAUGAUGAAAGUAGUCUCCCUCUUUUGAACCUUGGUCAGGAAGCUGCCUGCCACCUUCUGAA
rnacentral:snoRNA from 1 species